GGGGACUGAACAUCGUUCACCGAAUACACUUUGUGAUGUUUUAGGUGAUGAAGUACCUGCUGCCAGAGUUUCCCCUGAAACACACAAAGAAGAGUCUUUUACUUGUGAUUCAGUUGUUUCAGGAGUUCUUGACUGUCCAAUGUGCAAGGAUUCACGGUGGCUGUGAUGGCUGGAGAUUUCAUUUGCCUAAAGAUUAUGAUGAGAGAGAAGUAUCAAACAUAAUUUUUAUCAAAAGAUAAUUUUUUUAAGGUUUCAAAAAUCACAAAAAUGAUUUUUACAACAUAACAAAAAUCUACAAUACUUACAGAGAAGCACUAUUGGUUAGAUAAUCCAAAACCUCCUGUAGUUUAGCUGAUGGAGAAAACUGAAUAUUUUGAGGAAGCUGGCUACAAGCUGGGCAGUUUUCCUACACACAUAAUACACAACAAAUUACAGCAGCACAUGCACCAAUAUUAGUCUCUUUUAUGAACAAUAAAAUAAAAAUCAGGUUGUUUUAUAAUCAUGCAUAUUUCCUAUAAAAAAAAUUUUUAUGCUUUAAAGCCUGCUUUUCAUAAUAGACCAUUUCUUUUAAAUUACUUUGCUUUAGAGUUAUUUCAGGCUAUAAAGCAAAAGAUAUAUAAUAAGUAGAGUUCUGGAAGUUAGAAAAUGUAUGGGUGACUUUGUUCAAAUUUCUAACCAAUAAUAUUUAAAAAUCAAAAUAUGCAUGAUCAAAAAUGUGUUCUUAAUACUACUAACCUUUCUUUCUG
rnacentral:antisense_RNA from 1 species